AUUGAACGCUGGCGGCAGGCCUAACACAUGCAAGUCGAACGGUAGCAGGAAGCAGCUUGCUGCUUUGCUGACGAGUGGCGGACGGGUGAGUAAUGUCUGGGAAACUGCCCGAUGGAGGGGGAUAACUACUGGAAACGGUAGCUAAUACCGCAUAACGUCGCAAGACCAAAGAGGGGGACCUUAGGGCCUCUUGCCAUCGGAUGUGCCCAGAUGGGAUUAGCUAGUAGGUGGGGUAACGGCUCACCUAGGCGACGCUCCCUAGCUGGUCUGAGAGGAUGACCAGCCAAACUGGAACUGAGACACGGUCCAGACUCCUACGGGAGGCAGCAGUGGGGAAUAUUGCACAAUGGGCGCAAGCCUGAUGCAGCCAUGCCGCGUGUAUGAAGAAGGCCUUCGGGUUGUAAAGUACUUUCAGCGGGGAGGAAGGGAGUAAAGUUAAUACCUUUGCUCAUUGACGUUACCCGCAGAAGAAGCACCGGCUAACUCCGUG
rnacentral:rRNA from 1 species